rnacentral:rRNA from 1 species
UAGCAUAUCAAUAAGCGGAGGAAAAGAAACCAACAGGGAUUGCCCUAGUAACGGCGAGUGAAGCGGCAACAGCUCAAAUUUGAAAUCUGGCUUCGGCCCGAGUUGUAAUUUGUAGAGGAAGCUUUAGGCGCGGCACCUUCUGAGUCCCCUGGAACGGGGCGCCAUAGAGGGUGAGAGCCCCGUAUAGUUGGAUGCCUAGCCUGUGUAAAGCUCCUUCGACGAGUCGAGUAGUUUGGGAAUGCUGCUCAAAAUGGGAGGUAAAUUUCUUCUAAAGCUAAAUACCGGCCAGAGACCGAUAGCGCACAAGUAGAGUGAUCGAAAGAUGAAAAGCACUUUGAAAAGAGGGUUAAAUAGCACGUGAAAUUGUUGAAAGGGAAGCGCUUGUGACCAGACUUGCGCCGGGCUGAUCAUCCGGUGUUCUCACCGGUGCACUCUGCCCGGCUCAGGCCAGCAUCGGUUCUCGCGGGGGGAUAAAGGCCCAGGGAAUGUAGCUCCUCCGGGAGUGUUAUAGCCCGGGGCGCAAUGCCCUCGCGGGGACCGAGGUUCGCGCUCUGCAAGGAUGCUGGCGUAAUGGUCAUCAGCGACCCGUCUUGAAACACGGACCAAGGAGUCAAGGUUUUGCGCGAGUGUUUGGGUGUAAAACCCGCACGCGUAAUGAAAGUGAACGUAGGUGAGAGCUUCGGCGCAUCAUCGACCGAUCCUGAUGUUUUCGGAUGGAUUUGAGUAAGAGCGUUAAGCCUUGGACCCGAAAGAUGGUGAACUAUGCUUGGAUAGGGUGAAGCCAGAGGAAACUCUGGUGGAGGCUCGCAGCGGUUCUGACGUGCAAAUCGAUCGUCAAAUCUGAGCAUGGGGGCGAAAGACUAAUCGAACCAUCUAGUAGCUGGUUACCGCCGAA